UACGUAGGGUGCAAGCGUUAAUCGGAAUUACUGGGCGUAAAGCGUGCGCAGGCGGUUUUGUAAGACAGAGGUGAAAUCCCCGGGCUCAACCUGGGAACUGCCUUUGUGACUGCAAGGCUUGAGUGCGGCAGAGGAGACUGGAAUUCCUGGUGUAGCAGUGAAAUGCGUAGAUAUCAGGAGGAAUACCGAUGGCGAAGGCAGGUCUCUGGGCUGACACUGACGCUCAUGCACGAAAGCGUGGGGAGCAAACAGG
rnacentral:rRNA from 1 species